rnacentral:rRNA from 1 species
UAUCUCUGUAGAGUCUGCAUAUCAAUAAGCGGAGGAAAAGAAACUAACUAGGAUUCCCUAGUAACGGCGAGUGAAGCGGGAAGAGCUCAAAUUUGAAAUCUUAAAGGGUUUCCCUUUACGAAUUGUAGUUUAAAGAAGUGUUUUCUGUUGGAGUUUUGGUAAAAGUUCUUUGGAAUAGGACAUCAUAGAGGGUGAGAAUCCCGUAUUUGACCAUUACUUCCAGCGUUGUGAUACACUUUCAAAGAGUCGGAUUGUUUGGGAAUGCAGUCCAAAAUGGGUGGUAAAUUUCAUCUAAAGCUAAAUAUUGGCGAGAGACCGAUAGCGAACAAGUACCGUGAGGGAAAGAUGAAAAGAACUUUGAAAAGAGAGUUAAACAGUACGUGAAAUUGUCAAAAGGGAAGCGUUUGACACCAGUGUUGUUUUUCUGAAAAUCAAUUAAAGAACUGUUUAUGCUAAGUUGUUUAGACUUUAUCAGCUAACUGUUUAGUUUUGAGCUUUUCUUUAAUGCACUUUUCAGUUAACAAGUCAACAUCAAUUUCUUUUGCUGUAAAAAAGCUUGAGGAAGGUGGCUUGAGAUUCGUCUUAAGUGUUUAUAGCCUCUUGCCUAUGCAGUCGGAGAGAUUGAGGUCUGCAGCGUAGAUCCUUCGGGGCUAAAUGCAUUUGUGCUAAGUUAUAGCAUUUUAUAGACAACUUGUUGACUAUGAUUUGUCUUGUAGCUUACUCGCUUAUGUUAUUUUACCUACGCUUAGGAUGUUGACGAUCAGCUGAGCGCG